UCUAGCCUGCUCACUGAUAGAAUUAUUAAAUAGCCGCGGUAUUUUGACCGUGCAAAGGUAGCAUAAUCAUUAGUUUUUUAAUUGAAAACUCGUAUGAAUGGUUGGACAAAGAAGAAGCUGUCUCUCAUAUUAUCAUUGAAUUUAACUUUUGAGUGAAAAGGCUUAAAUAUUCUAGAGGGACGACAAGACCCUAUAAAGCUUUAUAAGUUUAAAGAUUUUCAUAUAUUUUUAUAUAAAAAUAAAUUCUGAAAGUUUGUUUGGUUGGGGCGACAGUGGUAUAACAAGAAUAACUGCCAUUAAAAUUAACAAUUAUAUUUGAUUUAUUUAAUUAAUUGAUCCUUUAUAAAGAUUUUAAGACCAAGUUACUUUAGGGAUAACAGCGUUAUUUUUUCUGAGAGUCCUUAUCAAAGAAAAAGUUUGCGACCUCGAUGUUGAAUUAAAAUGUCUUUACAGUGCAGCAGCUGUAAAAGAAGGUCUGUUCGACCUUUAAUAUUUUACAUGAUUUGAGUUCAAACCGGA
rnacentral:rRNA from 1 species